rnacentral:tRNA from 1 species
GGGGCCAUAGCUCAGCUGGGAGAGCGCUACGCUGGCAGCGUAGAGGUCAGGGGUUCGAGCCCCCUUGGCUCCAU